CAAUAGCGUAUAUUUAAGUUGUUGCAGUUAAAAAGCUCGUAGUUGGAUUUCGGGCGUGAACGACCGGUCCGUCUUUGAUGUGUACUGGUUGGUUGCGCCUUAUUGUCGAGGACGUGGUUCUAGCUUUCAUUAGCCGGGACACGGAGUCGGCAGCGUUACUUUGAGAAAAUUAGAGUGUUCAAAGCAGGCUAUCGCUCUGAAUACUACAGCAUGGAAUAACACGAUAGGACUCCGAGCCUAUUCUGUUGGUCUUCGGGACCGGAGUAAUGAUUAAGAGGGACAGUUGGGGGCAUUCGUAUUCCGAUGUCAGAGGUGAAAUUCUUGGAUUAUCGGAAGACGAACAUCUGCGAAAGCAUUUGCCAAGGAUGUUUUCAUUAA
rnacentral:rRNA from 1 species